AGUGAAUGCUAGGGGUAUGCUUAACACAUGCAAGUUGAACGGAACAUCUGUUUAGUAGCGUACGGGUGAGUAAUAUAGGAGAACCAAGCACUAAGUUCGGAACAAGAGAUAUGUCUGUAUAAAUGCCGGAUAUUGAAAGAUUUAUCGCUUAGUGUGGGGCUCCUAUGGGAUUAGGUUGUUGGUUGUGUAAUGGACAACCAAGCCAGGGAUCCCUAGUUGGUCUGAGAGGAUGAUCAGCCACACUGGGACUGAAACAAGGCCCAGACUUCCAUGGAGGGCGAGCAGUGAGGAGUAUUGGACAAU
rnacentral:rRNA from 1 species